rnacentral:misc_RNA from 1 species
AAUUCUCAAAAACCCUUUUUAGUAGAAGGGUUUUUGGACUUGGAGGUUCAAUGCUUGCCUUUCACUUUCAAAGGCGAGCUCCUCUCAAAUGAGUUAGUGGGGUCUGCUUUGCCGAUCCUUGACGUGAUAAGAUGUUUCUACGUUUUGGAUUUGGCACUGUCCCUUUGGAUGCCUGCUCAUAACCGUCCUACGGACAAAUCGGAAUUGAAAA